CAGCAGCCUGAGAGCUGUUUCCCCCUUUACUGAGGAGAUGGCUGAGCCCCAGAGGGGUGCGCUGAGCCAGGCGGCUCCUGGGGACAGAUGGGUCAUCCAGGUCUGAGGUGUUGGGCACAGUGGAGCUGGCAGCAGGGGCCCUGGCUCUUGGCUCAUUGUGCUCCAGCUUCUGCGGGCCUCAGCUGGACAAUGGGAGGACAGAGUGUGUGUGUGUUCGGGGAGCUGCUGUAGCGCCUGGCCUGCCAGUUCCCACAGGGAGGAAGCCACCCGAGCAUAUUUUGGGCUGACCAGAGGAGGCCCAACCUGCCAAACACUGGACCAGCCAGCGGGGCUUCCCUUGGUCCAUCCAGCCUCCUGGCUGCCAUGGAUCCUCCCAGAGCUGGGUGUACUGGCUGCCGUGAACCCUGGACCUGAACCCGAAACCUCCACAGUGGCCUCCGGAUCAUCGCUUCCCCAACUCUUAGCACUUCUGCAGCUGGGAGCGCCUGGUUCCGGGCUGGAGCCUCUUUCUUCCUUGGACACACGCUCUGCCUGCAGGGCCUGGCUGGAGGAUCCUUUAGGUCUCCACAGCCCAGAACUCAUGGAUUAGGAAGUGGGACACUGGCCCAGUAGCACAGAGCUGCACACAAAAGACCCAGUGCGUGAAGUGGGCACCUCUGGUACUGACGGAUCACCCCCCACUGGUCUUCAUACAGAUGAGAAAAGACGCCUCCUUGGUCUAAGAUAAGGAGUGCUCCCUCGUAUUGGGUUCGGUCCUGCUGACCCGCAGCCUCGUCUGUGGGGUGGGGAGGGGCGCAGCCCUGGCUCAAGGUUUGGUGAGGGAGCAGAGAGGUCGCCAGCAACCCUGCACUAAACACGGCACACAGCACAGCAGCUGUCUUCAGCACAGCUUCUCACCGGCCAGACACUUGGGGCAGUGCACCUGUCCAUGGCAGUCCUGGGUGUGAGUCCUGGCCAGCUUUGCCGAGUGUGCUUGGCAUGAGAAGUCAUCCUCUCUUGAUGUUACCAUAAAUUUUUUGCCGAGAAAGGUGCCGCAGUGCUUUUUUACUGAGCUCUAUUCCAUACCCUAGGUGAACAUAACCUAGAGUGACCUGUGGUAUGCGUCUAAGGGACCAUUUGUACCUGAGGAAAGGGCACAGUGAGCCACCCGUUCAAAGGGACUUAUCCCGGCUGUGCUGAGCACCUGCUGUAUGCCCAGUGCUCUGCCUGCACAGUCCCAUCUGACCCUCACAGUGGGCCUGGGAGUCGGGCGCUGUUACUGUCCCGGCUUUACAGUUGAGGCAGCUGAGGCUCAGGUGGCAGGGACUUGGAACACACACAGGGAUGGGACUUUUGGUCUCAACUGUUGUGCUAAAGACCUGCAGUUGUCAGUCUUUAAAACACAGCCUUUGGUGGAGGUGGGCAGGCCAGGGGAGGGUGGGACAGGGACUCCCUGCUUGUCCCCCCUCCAAGCUGGCACUGCGGCUCUCAGAACCUGGAGCUCUUACGGGGCACAAGCUCCGGGCCACUUCAGGGCUGGUGACUGAGCGGCGUCAGGAGGAGCAGAGGACAGUACUGAUUUUCCCACCUCUGGCAUCUCCCUGUGGCCCAGACUCCCGCAGCUGGAGCCUUUUCCUUCCAGAAGGGUAUGCUUGCCAGGUUUCUGCAGACACCCAGAGCCCUCCUUUCCCACGCCACUUGCCGGAGUUUCCACCGUGCUAGCUCCAUCUGCCUGACCCCUUGAGCCCCGUGGCAGUGGGGGUGAGGGAAGGCUGCAUCGCUCCCACCACCACCCUGGCUGGGGCCUUAACUCAGCUCCCACAGGAUGAGCCCUGGACGGUCAGAAACCUCAGAACAGCCAGAGCGAUGCAGCCCAGGGCAGAGGGACUCUCGUCGCUAUACUCGGCACAAUCGCUUGUACGCUCGCCCUUGGCCCAGGCCGAUUCCCAGGUUUCCCCCUGGGGACGGAGCUUCGCGGGUGUGGACCAGGUGACCACCACACUCUUCCCAGGAUGUCUUCACAGGCACCGAAGAGGGGGAAGCAAGUCCCACAGGUUACGCAGUGGAUUUGUUGGCUGUGCGGUGAGAGUAAUAAUUCUGGAGUUUGUCAUUAAGGAGGAAAGCAAAGGAAUAAUUAUCUCUACUGGGUACCAGGUUUCUCGCAGGGGAAAAGUCCAUCUACGGGGAAGGGGAAAGGCGUUCGAGGCAUCAGUACGCCCUUGGGAAGAUGCAUCUCCAGUCACCGUCGGUAUCGGUGGUGAUCGGUGCUGGGGCCAGGGCCUGCGUGGGUGCCCAGAUCUCAGGGUGUGCGUGUGUGUCCCUGACGGCACGGCACACAGCACGCCUCACUUACAGCCUCACAGGAAUUUCACGUCCCCUCUAGAUGAGCCGCGGUACCUGCCGCAGUGUAAAUGCUGUGGAAGUAGUGGUCACGCCACAUUGUGGAGGGAACUGUGACAAGAAAAAGAGUCUGAGCGUGUUUAGGGCAGAUGCAAAUCUUCCCUGGUACUUUCCACCCCUCCUUAGUUGGAGCUGUGGUUACGGAGUGAGGCGGACAACGAAGGAACUGUGCGUAGGAUGUUGGGCUGACGAGUCAUAGGCAUGGCAAGGGCCUGUUCCCCAUGAGAAGGAACCAGGGCUCCCGGACAAGCAGAGGACGCCCGGAGUGAGCAGUGGGCAGGAGCCAGGUGUCGCUUCCAUAUAGCAGGACACCUUCAAGGACAGGUGGGUCAGAAAGCCCCGGUCACGGGCUGGAAGGGACUGCUGGGGGCAGAGAGGUACAGGUGAAUGAGUGUCCAGAGAGAAAUGAGUGACACGGAGUACUGGAAGGAAGGGAGAAGAUGAGUGUUAAUUAAUAAGUGUAGAUGGGUUGAAAGACUUAGAAAAUCAGCCAUAGCAGACCACGUACGAGGGUGGGCUCCAGGUAGGUUGCUGUGAGAAGCCACAGCGCCACCUGUGGAUCUGUUGGGUGGAGCAGGCAGCUGCCUGGACUCCACGGAGACUUUGCUGCCCUGAAAGACCCCAGAGGCCGAAGGAACCUUCCGUGAAGCACAGCUCAGGAGCCAGGACGGCUCACGGCGCGCAGGAUGCUUUUCUGGGAUGGGGGUGCGAAAGCCAAGGACACUGCCGUGGACACUGCGGGGACACUUGCGUGUGGCCGGUGUGCCAGGAUGUCAGUGGGAAUCGCAGCAAUAAAACACACUCGCAGCGGCUGUUGAGCUAAUCGAGAUGUCAGGACGAUCCUUGGCCUGCCUUUCUGGCCUCUGCAAUUUCUCUGCUCCCUUCUGCAAAACACCAAACCACCUCCCCGGCCUGCACCCUGCGCGGGCUGAGCACCAGGACCGGAGGCUCUUUGUCGUUUGUGUGUAGCGAAUGUGCACAGCGAUAUCGCUUUGCCUCAUGAAUAUUUUAAUAUCAGAGCAGCUGAUCCCAGGAAGUGCUGAUUCGCUGUUGUGCGGGGCUGGUGCCUCUCAGGAGGCUGCACUCGUCAGCUUGGUGCCAGCCUGGCCAGGCCGCAGAGGAGUCCUGGGCCCUGGGCUGCUGACGGGGCUUCUGCACAUGUGCCACUCCUCCCGAGUGGGACUCAAGGACGCAGAGGGGAGCUGACCUGCCCUCAGCCCACUGGUGCCCCUCAGGAAGGUGGAGCUCAACUCGGAAUCUAAGCACGGGCUGCUUGUGGGGAGGGUGUCGCCAGUGGAUCCCUGGCUGAGCCCCUCUGGAGGCUGGCGCAGGGUCCUCGGACCCCAGGCACUAGGGCCUGCACACUCACCCGGGUAAUUAAUUAGCGGACCCCCCACGUGCAGCCGUGGCUGCUGCUCUUUUCUCUGUUGCGUUUAUCAGGCUCACAGUAGCAGGCCUUCUGCCAGGUACCAGGAGCGUAGUUAGCUCUUUUCUGAUAUAUGGGCUGUGCCUGCCGCAUGCCGGGCCAAGGCUGUACCAAGUAUUGGAUCACAGUGAGUGGAGGAAGCUCUGCAGCCCGCUCCCAGCCCAGGCGCAAUCGCAAGACAAGUAAUGAAUUGGGAUUAGACGGGGGAGAGACCGUGUGGCUGAGCUCAGCAGGAUCCAGCACUUGUCAGAUGAGCACAUCCUCUACGUCGGAGCCGAACAGGCAGGCCUUAAUGUUUAACCAGCAGCCAAGUCGACUGGAGGCUCACAGCCCCAUGAGACGGGUGUCACAGCACUGCCAGACAGAUACGCAUGAGGCCCGGAGAGAUUUGGUGACUGGCUCAAAGCCACAGAGCUUCUAAUCCAGGCGCAGGCCUGUCUCAUUCCAAAGUCCCAGCUGGUUUUCUGAGAGCAGCGUUCAGUAAACCAGAGCUGGCUGCAGGCCAAAUCCAGCUCCCUCCUGUCCGUGUAAAUAAAGUUUUAUUGGCAUGCACGUCCCCAUGGGUCCACCUGCUUCCCGAGGCUGCCUUCCUCCUGCAGUGGCAGAGCUGAGAGGUUGCAGCGGGGUCUGGGUGGCCCGUGAGCGUGGACACCUGGCUCCGUAGUCAGCAUUCGCAGCCUGCUGUAGAGCACGCUGGAUCACAGCCACUCCCUGCGUGUCACUGUUCAGUGCUAUCCCAUAAAAUUCACACGCUGCGGCCCCGACUCCUCGGACCUUGGAGUGUGACCUUGCGUAGCAGUAGAGUCAUCGCUGUUGUCAUUAAGCACGAGGAGGAUCGGCCCGGGUUUCCUCCCUCAGAGAAGGGGGUGAGAAGUUCUGGACCUCAGCACUGGACCACCAUCCUCACAGAUGGAGUAUGUGGGCACAGACGCAACCCCAGGGGGUGCCAGGUAAAGGCAGGGGCCGGGCUGGUGCACCUGCAUGCUCAGGAGCACCACAGGUCUCCAGCAAAGCUCCAGCACGGAGGCCUGAGGCCGACUCUGUCUGCAGCAGGAGCCAAUCCUGCCGGCACCUUGACCUUAAUUUACAGCUUCCAGAAGGGUGAGCAGCGUCUCACUGCCUUCAUUCUCCCCCAGGGUGCUUUGCAGCAGCAGCCCCCAGCCAGUAGCCUCAGCCACUUCCUUAGACCGGGGCGGCGUAGGCGCCGCAGGUCUCACCCUGGACAGCUGGAGUGGCCUCACCCCUGGAGCCGCCUGGCCUGUCGUCUCUGAGGACCUUGGAUCCCGGGUCUCCACGGCCACGCGUAUGCAGCAGAUCUGUGCACAGGCUGGAGGGGCUGGUUCCAGGCUGACGCUAGGGCCAGCUGUGCCCUGGGCCCAAGUGUCGUGGCCUCAUCUCUUCCAAAACUCACGGAUGCCACGGGGAGGCAGGUGACCCAGGUCCCCCUGACUAAAGUGUGUUCGCGAGUAAAGCACAGCCACUUCCUUCGCUUCAGUGUGGCUUUUCCAUCAGUCUUGCUCCUGGCACCGGGCCGGGCUGUGCCCCGCGUGACAGUGAAUGCCUCGUGGGCAGCACAACACAUGACUCGUCCGUGCCGUGCCCCCGGCCAAGUGCCCAGCUCACAGAAGGCUCCGAACCACACACACCUCUGCCAGUGGGUGUUUGGGGAGCAUCUGCCUGAGUGUCCUCCCUCGGAGAAGGGAGUAAGGAGGUCCUAAAGCAGGUUGCUGCAAUGCAGGGUCCUUGGCCUGCGGAAAUUGGGUCUUACUCCCAUGGUGGAGUUACAGACCUCUGAUGGCCAGGGAGUAUUGAGAGCUGGAAACAGCAGCCCCAGUGUCACCUGAUGUGGGGCGGAGUCUGGGUUUAAAGAGCCACCUCCAGAGACCCCAAAUCCAGCAGCCCCCCUGCCAUCUGAUGCUGUCACUGCAGGGCAGUGCCCAGGUGCCUUUCUGUGCACCCAGGACAGCUUUCAGUGUGACCACGUGCCAGCCACCUGCUAGACAGAGCCACACAGGGCUCUCAGCCUGA